rnacentral:lncRNA from 1 species
CCUAAAGAAUAUGUAGUAAUAUGGUACCCAAAGGUGGGAUCCUAAAGAAUAUGUAGUAAUAUGGUACCCAAAGGUGGGAUCCUAAAGAAUAUGUAGUAAUAUGGUACCCAAAGGUGGGAUCCUAAAGAAUAUGUAGUAAUAUGGUACCCAAAGGUGGGAUCCUAAAGAAUAUGUAGUAAUAUGGUACCUAAAUGUGGGAUUCUAAGUUAAGAAUUUCCUUAAGUAGAUACGUAUGAAGGUAUGUAUGUAUGUAUGUAUGUGUGAAUAUAAGUGGUAUGUAUGAAUGAAUGUAUGUAUGUAUGUAUGUAUGCACGUAUGUAGGAACGUACGUAUGAAUGUAGGUACGUAGGUUUGUAAGUAGUUAUGUGUGAACGGAUGCACAUAUGUAAGUAUGUAUGAAAGUAUAUACGCAUGUAUUCAAUGAAAUUGAGUAUUGACGAUAAUAAUAGUGUGCCUUGUGAACGAAGUGUAACGCAGGUACAAUGAGAAAGUCUCACCACGGAAUGUACGAUCAGAUGGAAAGCUGGGAUGUAAAGAAUUAACGGAACAAGAAGUAAACGUGAAUAAAUCUUGUAUGUUUAUAAUGCGUACUAAUGUUAUGAAUUUAAUGUGGUGAGCGCAGGUAGUACGAGUCAUGAGGAUCAUCAAGGAACAGAGAUCGAGGAUCGAGUCACUAGUGAGAUUGUACGGGAACGUUGAUGUAUAUAAUGUAGUAAACAUAAGCUAUGUUUUUACUUAGUAAAUAAGUCGAUUGAUGGAUUUAUGU